UACGUAGGGGGCAAGCGUUGUCCGGAUUUAUUGGGCGUAAAGAGCGUGUAGGCGGCUGGGUAGGUCCGCUGUGAAAACUCGAGGCUCAACCUCGAGAUGUCGGCGGAAACCCUCUGGCUAGAGUCCGGAAGAGGAGAGUGGAAUUCCCGGUGUAGCGGUGAAAUGCGCAGAUAUCAGGAGGAACACCGGUGGCGAAGGCGGUGAUCUGGGCCAGUACUGACGCUGAGGAGCGAAAGCGUGGGUAGCAAACAGG
rnacentral:rRNA from 1 species